AUGCAAGGAAUGGCAAUAUCAAUGCAGCAUUGUUAUCUUCCCAUCAUCAUCCAGUCCGACUCCUCUCAGGCCUUGUCAGCUUUGACAGGGGACAGCCUUUCCCGCUCGGCUUAUGGUCACUUAGUUGCAAAGAUUCGUUAUCUUAUGAGUGAAAGAGAGUUUAUUCCUUUGAAAAUUAAAAGAGAGCAAAAUAGGGUAGCAGAUCGUUUGGCUACGUAUAGCCGUACAGAGAGUACAACUGCUGUAUGGCUUGGGCGGGGACCUCUGUGUGUGGAGGAGCUUUUGCCACUUGAUUGUAACCCUAUGUUUAUGGAAUAA
rnacentral:rRNA from 1 species